rnacentral:ncRNA from 1 species
GUUGAUAGAGGCGCGACGCGAAAGAGUAUCGGGCAUGAGGGGACACCCAAUGAGAGCUCGAGAAAGGUCAAGUCGCCGAAACGGUGAUUUCGGUAGGAAUCAUCAGUUGGGCAUGGGAAGAACAUUUCCAUGACUCCCGCUCCCUAAAGGAGUGGAGGAGCUAU